GUACCCGCUGAACUUAAGCGGAGGAAAAGAACCAACAGGGAUUGCCCUAGUAACGGCGAGUGAAGCGGCAACAGCUCAAAUUUGAAAUCUGGCGCAAGCCCGAGUUGUAAUUUGUAGAGGAUGUUUCUGGCGACGUGCCUUCCGAGUUCCCUGGAACGGGACGCCAUAGAGGGUGAGAGCCCCGUACGGUUGGAUGCCUAGCCUCUGUGAAACUCCUUCGACGAGUCGAGUAGUUUGGGAAUGCUGCUCUAAAUGGGAGGUAUACGUCUUCUAAAGCUAAAUACCGGCCAGAGACCGAUAGCGCACAAGUAGAGUGAUCGAAAGAUGAAAAGCACUUUGAAAAGAGGGUUAAAAAGUACGUGAAAUUGUUGAAAGGGAAGCGUUCAUGACCAGACUUGGGCAGGUUGAUCAUCCGUGGUUCUCCGCGGUGCACUCUGCCUGCCCAGGCCAGCAUCAGUUCGCCCCGGGGGAUAAAGGUUUUGGGAAUGUGGCUCCCUCGGGAGUGUUAUAGCCCACUGCGUAAUACCCUGGGGUGGACUGAGGUUCGCGCUCUGCAAGGAUGCUGGCGUAAUGGUCAUCAACGACCCGUCUUGAAACACGGACCAAGGAGUCGUCUUCGUAUGCGAGUGUUCGGGUGUCAAACCCCUACGCGUAAUGAAAGUGAACGUAGGAGAGAGCUUCGGCGCAUCUCCGACCGAUCCUGAUGUUCUCGGAUGGAUUUGAGUAAGAGCAUACGGGGCCGGACCCGAAAGAAGGUGAACUAUGCCUGUAUAGGGUGAAGCCAGAGGAAACUCUGGUGGAGGCUCGCAGCGGUUCUGACGUGCAAAUCGAUCGUCAAAUAUGGGCAUGGGGGCGAAAGACUAAUCGAACCUUCUAGUAGCUGGUUUCCGCCGAAGUUUCCCUCAGGAUAGCAGUAUUGAACUCAGUUUUAUGAGGUAAAGCGAAUGAUUAGGGACCCGGGGGCGCUAUAUUGCCUUCAUCCAUUCUCAAACUUUAAAUAUGUAAGAAGCUCUUGUUGCUUAAUUGAACGUGAGCAUUCGAAUGUAUCAAUACUAGUGGGCCAUUUUUGGUAAGCAGAACUGGCGAUGCGGGAUGAACCGAACGCGAGGUUAAGGUGCCAGAGUAGACGCUCAUCAGACACCACAAAAGGUGUUAGUACAUCCAGACAGUUGGACGGUGGCCAUGGAAGUCGGAAUCCGCUAAGGACUGUGUAACAACUCACCAACCGAAUGUACUAGCCCUGAAAAUGGAUGGCGCUCAAGCGUCUCACCCAUACCUCGCCCUCAGGGUAGAAACGAUGCCCUGAGGAGUAGGCGGACGUGGAGGUCAGUGACGAAGCCUAGGGCGUGAGCCCGGGUUGAACGGCCUCUAGUGCAGAUCUUGGUGGUAGUA
rnacentral:rRNA from 1 species